UGUCCGCUAAAUCAAGUACAUAGCCAGAUGUAAUAUAUAUAAGUAGAUGAAUAGGUACAUUCAGGAAUGCGCUAAAUCAAAUCCACGCCAACUUGUUGAAAAAUCAUAUUCCGCCAACUAUCGUACACGCUAAAUAUGAUAAGUUUACAGUAAUAUCCACCCUUUAUAAUUUUAUUUUAAGUUAUAUUCACUUGUAGCAUUUAUCUUGACUUUGUUUGCUUAUUAUUUUUUUUUAAUUGUCUAUUUGUUUGUUUGUUUUUUUAAAGAUUUCAAAAAGCAAUGGAAAUAAAAGACUUUUGAAUAAUAUUUAAAUGUUUAAAUGACUUGUAGUCAUGUGCCUAUUCAAAAUGCAUAUUAGUCUGCUUAAAGUUGUCAUUGGUAUUAUUGAUACUAUUUUUGUUAUUAUUUUCAUUAUUGAUUUAUUGCUGUACAUUUUUUGUCAUAUUAUUUUUGACGAUUUCUCUUCUUUCAGUAUUUCAUAUGUAGAGCACGUAUUUAAUAUUUUGUCUCAACAUUCUUUGGUAAAUAAAAUUUUGUAAAAAUUCAACUACAUAAUUUCUACAAAAAUGCAAAUUUAUAAAUGUCAUUUAAUCUCACAUAAUGUUGCAUAGAUAUAUCUCAUAUAUCUCAAUCUGUAUAAUUGCUAUUUCAUAAUACUUUAUUGUAAUGAUUAAAAAAUAUCAUGGUAUGGUUUUCUCCGAAUUAAACCUUCAAUGAUUGCUUUAAAAUUUGAAAAUUAGUUUACCAUGAUAAAUAUUUCCCCUUUCACGUUUGUUUCUUAUUUUUAUGGCAUCGAUGAUGUACACAGACAAUAAACAAAAGGGUGCUUACAUUGCACUCGUGUGAAGUCGAUGUAGUUCGUUGCCAUUUAUCAUUGUCAUUGACAUACAGUUUUAUUCCUGGUAAAAUCAUAAACAACGUCAUCAGGCAGUUCAAUACCAUUCAUCAUUGAAUUAUAAUCAAUAUCAUUGACUUGAUCAUUGUUUUAUAUGUCAAUAUCAUUGUUUCAUUUAUGUACAACAAAUAAUAAAGCCAUGACAGAAACUGC
rnacentral:misc_RNA from 1 species